AUUUAGUAUUUGUCAUGUUUUUGACAUUUGUAAUUGUUUUUACAUGGUGCCAAAGUCAAAGGACAGCAUUUCCACCACAAUUCAAGAAUGAAUCACCACAAUAACUAAAUUGUUAAGCAUUUGAACUAUGUGGAAAUGGAACCGUAAUACCAAUUAAUAGAUCAGACCUGUAGAGAACUUCUCCUAAACAAUAAUGUAUGUUGCUUCCCUUGUGUUUUUCAUACUGCAGACUUCACAGCCAAGACAGAAACGAUACUGCAUCAUAUUGAGGUUGUUGUACCGUAUCUAAGAACAGUACUGUAUGUUCAUUCAUCUUGACACCAUUGAACUAUUGAAACCUGCUGACACAGUGCAUCUAUUCUACAGUGCAUCUAUGCCACAGUGCAUCUAUUCUACAGUGCAUCUAUUCUAGUGUAUCUAUUCUACAGUGUAUCUAUUCUACAGUGCGUCUAUUCUACAGUGCAUCUAUUCUACAGUGUAUCUAUUCUACAGUGCAUCUAUUCUACAGUGCAUCUCUGCCACAGUGCAUCUAUUCUACAGUGCAUCUAUUCUACAGUGCAUCUAUUCUACAGUGUAUCUAUUCUACAGUGCAUCUCUGCCACAGUGCAUCUAUUCUACAGUGCAUCUAUUCUACAGUGCAUCUAUUCUACAGUGCAUCUAUUCUACAGUGCAUCUAUUCUACAGUGCAUCUAUUCAAGAGUGCAUCUCUGCCACAGUGCAUCUAUUCUACAGUGCAUCUAUUCUACAGUGCAUCUAUUCUACAGUGCAUCUAUUCUACAGUGUAUCUAUUCUACAGUGUAUCUAUUCUACAGUGCAUCUAUUCUACAGUGUAUCUAUUCUACAGUGCAUCUAUUCUACAGUGCAUCUAUUCUACAGUGCAUCUAUUCUACAGUGUAUCUAUUCUACAGUGUAUCUAUUCUACAGUGCAUCUAUUCUACAGUGUAUCUAUUCUACAGUGCAUCUAUUCUACAGUGCAUCUAUUCUACAGUGCAUCUAUUCUACAGUGUAUCUAUUCUACAGUGUAUCUAUUCUACAGUGCAUCUAUUCUACAGUGCAUCUAUUCUAGUGUAUCUAUUCUACAGUGCAUCUAUUCUACAGUGCAUCUAUUCUACAGUGUAUCUAUUCUACAGUGCAUCUAUUCUACAGUGCAUCUAUUCUACAGUGCAUCUAUUCAAGAGUGCAUCUCUGCCACAGUGCAUCUAUUCUACAGUGCAUCUAUUCUACAGUGCAUCUCUGCCACAGUGCAUCUAUUCUACAGUGCAUCUAUUCUACAGUGCAUCUAUUCUACAGUGUAUCUAUGCCACAGUGCAUCUAUUCUACAGUGCAUCUAUUCUACAGUGCAUCUAUUCUACAGUGCAUCUAUUCUACAGUGCAUCUAUUCUACAGUGUAUCUAUUCUACAGUGCAUCUAUUCUACAGUGCAUCUAUUCUACAGUGCAUCUAUUCUACAGUGCAUCUAUUCUACAGUGCAUCGAUUCUACAGUGUAUCUAUUCUACAGUGCAUCUAUUCUACAGUGCAUCUAUUCUACAGUGCAUCUAUUCUACAGUGCAUCUAUUCUACACUGCACAGAUCAGCUGGAGAAGUCGAGCUGUUGGCCGUGAGGCUAAAUCAUCAGCUGACAUUUAAUUAAUCUAACGAGAGUUAGGCUGUCGGCAAAACAUCACAAUAUGUACAACAGAACCGUGAUAUUCAGUGUGAUCCCAAAACAUCUCCUUCACCAAAUCUAGUGCCUAGGGCUCUGUUCCAGUUCGUUGGAAAAUUAUGCUCCCCUCACGUCCAAUAUUAAACUGCUGCAUGCUUGAAGCAGACGGAUGUAAAACUCAUCAUACCGGCUGUACUUCUGCCUGCUUGAACGGCAAAUAGCUCCGAUACACUUCAAAACAUCAAAUUACUCCGGGAAUCGAUAGAACGUCGCUCAAAGGAUGCACACAUUCGAUAUAACACUCGAAAUGGGUGAAAAGCACAGUAAAUGUCAAAUGCACAUCAAAUCAACAGUGUAGUGUUUGGAUUCAGUCUUGUGUUAGGUGAACUGUUGUGUCCUCACCUUUAGUCUAUUAAUGUUCCCAUAAUCUUCAAACUGUUCCCUUUUCAUUGUUACCAUGGUUAUGCAUAUGCUUUCCAUAUUUAUUCUGUAAGAAACAUUUCAAUGUAGACCUAUCCAUAUAGGCCAAUUCCCACGAGUGCAAGGGUUUAGUUGAUUGUUAUACUGUACCUUAGAGAACUUUGAUAUGAAUGCAGCAUGAGACUAGAUGCUCUACCUGGUGGUAACGAGAUGAGGACAAACACGUUGAAACAAAACAGAGAAGUGUCAUCUUGUUUCUGUUCAGGGACCAGGAAGCAGGUUGUCUAUGCCUUUUAAAACUGCAAUAUCCUACGAGCUAAAACCUAAAGGCAAUUUACUGCAAAACAGUUUAAGGUGAUUUUUAUAUAUAGCCUUACAUGACAACCCACCAUCACUUAGUUCCCAAAGUCAGACAAGAUAUUACCCUACAGACCAGACCAUUAAAGUCUCACUUCAAAUCUCCCUGAAAAGACUUAACAGAUUUCACAGAUUUACUGUGAAAAGCAACGCUCAGGGAUGAAAACCAGUGCUUGGGGCGAUGCUUUAGGCUACAAUAUAUCAACACAUAAAGGCCCUUAGGAAAACUGAUGGAAGAAGACAAGAACACAAGAGGGGAGAGAGAGAGAUGGCGAGAGAGAGCUAUGGAGAGAGAUGGUGAGAGAGAUGGAGAGAGAGAGAUGGAGAGCUAGAGAGAGAGAGAGAGACAGUGGUUAUGGUCAUUGGGUCCCAUUAUGAUGUCUUUCCUGUUACCUUGGAGAUUAUCAUUUGCCAUGUAAUGUACUAAUUUUGCCAGUGGGGGGCGCUGUUUCUCUUCUCUAAACGUACAGUGCCUUCAGAAAGUAUUCAUACCCCUUUAUUC
ensembl:lncRNA